GUUGCCUACGGGACGCAGCAGUGGGGGAUAUUGCACAAUGGGGGAAACCCUGAUGCAGCGACGCCGCGUGGGUGAAGAAGUAUUUCGGUAUGUAAAGCUCUAUCAGCAGGGAAGAAAGAAAUGACGGUACCUGACUAAGAAGCCCCGGCUAACUACGUGCCAGCAGCCGCGGUAAUACGUAGGGGGCAAGCGUUAUCCGGAUUUACUGGGUGUAAAGGGAGCGUAGACGGCAGUGCAAGUCUGAAGUGAAAGGCGGGGGCCCAACCCCCGGACUGCUCUGGAAACUGUGCUGCUGGAGUGCAGGG
rnacentral:rRNA from 1 species